GACGAACGCUGGCGGCGUGCCUAAUACAUGCAGGUUGAGCGCUGAAGGUUGGUACUUGUACCAACUGGAUGAGCAGCGAACGGGUGAGUAACGCGUGGGGAAUCUGCCUUUGAGCGGGGGACAACAUUUGGAAACGAAUGCUAAUACCGCAUAAAAACUUUAAACACAAGUUUUAAGUUUGAAAGAUGCAAUUGCAUCACUCAAAGAUGAUCCCGCGUUGUAUUAGCUAGUUGGUGAGGUAAAGGCCCACCAAGGCGAUGAUACAUAGCCGACCUGAGAGGGUGAUCGGCCACAUUGGGACUGAGACACGGCCCAAACUCCUACGGGAGGCAGCAGUAGGGAAUCUUCGGCAAUGGACGAAAGUCUGACCGAGCAACGCCGCGUGAGUGAAGAAGGUUUUCGGAUCGUAAAACUCUGUUGGUAGAGAAGAACGUUGGUGAGAGUAGAAAGCUCAUCAAGUGACGGUAACUACCCAGAAAGGGACGGCUAACUACGUG
rnacentral:rRNA from 1 species